AUUGAACGCUGGCGGAAUGCUUUACACAUGCAAGUCGAACGAUGAACCUUAGCCUGCUAAGGGGAUUAGUGGCGAACGGGUGAGUAAUGUAUCGGAUCGUAUCCAAUAAUGGGGGAUAACUAGUCGAAAGAUUAGCUAAUACCGCAUACGUCCUACGGGAGAAAGCUAGGGACCUUCGGGCCUGGCGUUAAUGGCGCGGCCGAUAUCUGAGUAGCUAGUUGGUGGGGUAAAGGCUCACCAAGGCGACGAUCAGUAGCUGGUCUGAGAGGACGACCAGCCACACUGGAACUGAGACACGGUCCAGACUCCUACGGGAGGCAGCAGUGGGGAAUUUUGGACAAUGGGCGAAAGCCUGAUCCAGCCAUUCCGCGUGAGUGAAGAAGGCCUUCGGGUUGUAAAGCUCUUUCGCAAGAGAAGAAAACUUAAGCUCUAACAUAGCUUGAGGUUGACGGUACCUUGAUAAGAAGCACUGGCUAACUACGUGCCAGCAGCCGCCGUAA
rnacentral:rRNA from 1 species